rnacentral:rRNA from 1 species
UUGCUUCUCUGAUGUUAGCGGCGGACGGGUGAGUAACACGUGGAUAACCUACCUAUAAGACUGGGAUAACUUCGGGAAACCGGAGCUAAUACCGGAUAAUAUUUUGAACCGCAUGGUUCAAAAGUGAAAGACGGUCUUGCUGUCACUUAUAGAUGGAUCCGCGCUGCAUUAGCUAGUUGGUAAGGUAACGGCUUACCAAGACAACGAUGCAUAGCCGACCUGAGAGGGUGAUCGGCCACACUGGAACUGAGACACGGUCCAGACUCCUUUGCUUCUCUGAUGUUAGCGGCGGACGGGUGAGUAACACGUGGAUAACCUACCUAUAAGACUGGGAUAACUUCGGGAAACCGGAGCUAAUACCGGAUAA